CUGACGAUUUUUCCCUCAGGCAGUAUUGCAAUUUUGUGCCAGAACUGUUGCUAAGGGCAUUGCCAAGGACACUCUGGGCUAUCUGAAGACUCUGCUCUCAGCUGCCUCCUUCCCUCCCUCUCCUUUUUCCAGAGAAGAACUUGAAACGGGCUUCAUUGAAAGGUGCUUGAAACUCAGAAAGACAUAACCUCAUCCUACAUUCGCCGCUCAGCAGAACACCAAACAAAACACAAUCAAUAAUCUAGUGUGCCGCUUUAAACAAAUUCCUGUGGAAAAAUUGCUCUGCUUGAGAUCUGCACUUGGUCAUUCCAGCAGUAGAGGUAUUGCAUUUCCUGGGACGGGGAAAGGCAUCGCUGCUGAUCUGCCCCUUCUUUCAAAUGCUGCUGUUGCCCCCAUGCACAUUGCCAGGACUCGUGCAGAGACAUCCUUUUCAUUGCACUAUGACGAUCUGUGCUCAGGGUGCUUGUGGGGUGGUCAUGUUGGUCCCGCUUUCAGUACAGUAUUUGCU